rnacentral:rRNA from 1 species
UACGGAGGAUCCGAGCGUUAUCCGGAUUUAUUGGGUUUAAAGGGUGCGCAGGCGGGGGAUUAAGUCGGCGGUGAAAUUUUGCAGCUCAACUGUAAAAGUGCCUUCGAUACUGGCUUUCUUGAGUGUGGAUGAAGUAGGCGGAAUUUGUGGUGUAGCGGUGAAAUGCAUAGAUAUCACGAGGAACUCCGAUUGCGCAGGCAGCUUACUAAACUACUACUGACGCUGAGGCGCGAAAGCGUGGGGAGCGAACAGGAUUAGAUA